UAGGACUUCAACAGGACUUACUUCGUAAACGUCAGUCGAUGGGGUCAGUCUGUAUAAUAAAACAAAAGAUUUUUCUUAACAAAUUUGAAAAACCGGGAAAAUAUAAGAAAUGUAGGUAUUAGUUUAAAUACAUUAUUACGGCCUUCUUUUUUUUUCUGUGCACUUUAAAAAGGUCAUUUUUCGAUUUUCUCGUGAGUUUUCUCAGCAAAUGUGAAAAACCGAGAUAAAACAUAGAAAAAACGUAG